GACGAACGCUGGCGGCGUGCUUAACACAUGCAAGUCGAACGGAAAGGCCCUGCUUUUGUGGGGUGCUCGAGUGGCGAACGGGUGAGUAACACGUGAGUAACCUGCCCUUGACUUUGGGAUAACUUCAGGAAACUGGGGCUAAUACCGGAUAGGAGCUCCUGCUGCAUGGGGGGGGAUGGAAAGAUUCGGCUGUUGGGGAUGGACUCGCUGCUUAUGAGCUUGUUGGUGGGGUAGUGGCUGACCAAGUCUUUGACGGGUAGCCGGCCUGAGAGGGUGACCGGCCACAUUGGGACUGAGAUACGGCCCAGACUGCUACGGGAGGCAGCAGUGGGGAAUAUUGCACAAUGGGCGGAAGCCUGAUGCAGCAACGCCGCGUGCGGGAUGACGGCCUUCGGGUUGUAAACCGCUUUCGCCUGUGACGAAGCGUGAGUGACGGUAAUGGGUAAAGAAGCACCGGCUAACUACGUG
rnacentral:rRNA from 1 species